GGGAAUAAAAAAUGUUAGUGGGAUUAUUGUCCUUAGGCGUAGCUGUUGGGUUGGGUCGCAUCGGUGAAGAUCCGAAGUCUCUGCUCUGCAAUGGCGAAGAUCGAAGAACUGAACGGUUCCUUGGCCAAAUCCAGGUCGAAGAGGAAUCAUGGCUCCACCACAUUCUUUGUCUUUGUCGAUUACCUUUUCAUUUUCAUCUUCCUCGGAUUCCUCUCCUUCAUCGUUUCCAAGAUUCUCACCAUUUGAUUUCAUUCCCAAAAUCACACACGCAUAGGAAGUUCGCCUGGCAUAACUAGGCUUCCAUACACAAACCUAGUUCCAAUCUUGAAGGUGGUGGCAACUGACAACUAGCGAGUGUCAUUUUUUAUCUGAUCCUACGAUGUAAUACUUGAAGUUAUCAUCUUUCUUAACUUUUGCUCUGGAAUUCCAAAAAUUGCGCUAUUCAUUUGACUGUUUAUUGUAUUUCAUUUGUUUGUAGUGUGUUACAUUUGAUCUUUACACAUACCCUUUUUCUCUUU